CUUUCUCUAUCCUUCGUCUCUCUCUCUCUCUCAUCCUUUUCUCAAUCCUUCACAUCUUAGCCCCAAAUCAUCAUCAACACACCAAAAUCGGCAGCAACAACACCAACUUCCAUUUUCUUUCCACUAAUUUCUUCUUACACCACUCCAUCCCAUCAAUUCUUUCAAUUAGUUAGUGCUCUUAGAUUUUGAUUUCUAUAUCCCAACAACCAAGCUCCACACAACCACCACCACUUCCGACAGCAACGACAGCGAAGGCCGGAAAUUCCCUAUUACAAGAUCUUAAAGUCGAAAGGGAAAACAUGUUUGUUCGAAUGAGAGAGGAUAUGAGAAAAUUGGUGGUUGUCAAGUCAAUUAAGAAUCCAACAAGGAAAAGGGGCAGAUCUGCAAUGAAAGAUCUAAAUUUUUGUUGAUGAAGAAAGCCCAAAUCCCAGAUCGUUGCUUACUCACUUCUCCCCCACGAUCAAACCCUUCAGUUUCUCCCAAAUAGAUGCCUCCAUGAUUGAAUAUCCCAACCCUAAAGAUUCGAGCAUGUGUUCUGGGUUUGCCAAUAAUAAACUAAUUGUUGAACCAAAACCCUUCAGUUUCCCCCAAAUAGAUGCCUCCAUGAUUGAAUAUUUGAUGUUUUUAAAAAAUUUACAUGACCUCGGCUGUCCUAAUUUCACUAGUACUUUGUUCUGCAAUUUAUUUUACCAUCGGAAUCCUUAGUUGAUGGUGGUGUUUAUUUUACCAUUGGGUUGUUGAUGGUGGUAGUUAUGGAUUAUUGUGGUGGUUAUGAAUGAUGGUGGCAACCGAUGGAGGUUGUGAGGAAGAUGAAGUUUUUUUUUCUUCUCUUUUAUCUGAAAAAAG
rnacentral:lncRNA from 1 species